rnacentral:rRNA from 1 species
CCUACGGGAGGCAGCAGUGAGGAAUAUUGGUCAAUGGACGAGAGUCUGAACCAGCCAAGUAGCGUGAAGGAUGACUGCCCUAUGGGUUGUAAACUUCUUUUAUAAAGGAAUAAAGCGACGCACGUGUGCCUUUUUUCAUGUACUUUGUGAAUAAGUAUCGGCUAACUCCGUGCCAGCAGCCGCGGUAAUACGGAGGGUACGAGCGUUAUCCGGAUUUCCUGGGUGUAAAGGGAGCGUAGACGGCUGGGCAAGUCUGAAGUGAAAGCCCGUGGCUCAACCGCGGAACUGCGGUGGAAACUGUAUAGCUUGAGUACUGGAGAGGCAGGCGGAAUUCCUAGUGUAGCGGUGAAAUGCGGAGAUAUUAGGAGGAACACCAGUGGCGAAGGCGGCCUGCUGGAGAGAAACUGACGUUGAGGCUCGAAAGCGUGGGGAGCAAACAGGAUUAGAUACCCCUGUAGUC